ACUAGUGGCGGACGGGUGGAGUGACGGCGUGGGUAACCUGCCUCAUACAGGGGGAUAACAGUUGGAAACGACUGCUAAGACCGCAUAACCCGCUAGUGUCGCAUGACACGGACGGAAAAUAUUUAUAGGUAUGAGAUGGGCCCGCGCCUGAUUAGCUAGUUGGUAGGUAACGGCUUACCAAGGCGACGAUCAGUAGCCGACUUGAGAGAGUGAUCGGCCACAUUGGGACUGAGACACGGCCCAAACUCCUACGGGAGGCAGCAGUGGGGAAUAUUGGACAAUGGGGGAAACCCUGAUCCAGCCGACGCCGCGUGAGUGAAGAAGUAUUUCGGUAUGUAAAGCUCUAUCAGCAGGGAAGAUAAUGACAGUACCUGACUAAGAAGCCCCGGCUAACUACGUGCCAGCCGCCGC
rnacentral:rRNA from 1 species